rnacentral:rRNA from 1 species
CCAUCAUCGUGGCCAGCGGCGGGAGAUAUACGUAGGGGGGUAGUGUUGUCUCAUUGUGUGGUUCGGAAAGGUCGGGUAGGAGGCUUGUCAAGUCCUUUGUGAAAACGCGAGGCUCAACCUCGAGACGCCGGUGGAAACUGCAAGGCUAGGGUCCGGAAGAGGAGAGUGGAAUUCCUGGUGUAGCGGUGAAAUGCGCAGAUAUCAGGAGGAACACCCGUGGCGAAAGCGGCUCUCUGGGACGGUACUGACGCUGAGACGCGAAAGCGUGGGGAGCAAACAGGAUUAGAUACCCGAGUAGUC